rnacentral:rRNA from 1 species
CCUACGGGAGGCAGCAGUGAGGAAUAUUGGUCAAUGGACGCAAGUCUGAACCAGCCAUGCCGCGUGCAGGAAGACGGCUCUAUGAGUUGUAAACUGCUUUUGUACGAGAGUAAACUCAAGUACGCAUAUCGGUCUGUAAGUAUCGUACGAAUAAGGAUCGGCUAACUCCGUGCCAGCAGCCGCGGUAAUACGGAGGAUUCAAGCGUUAUCCGGAUUUAUUGGGUUUAAAGGGUGCGUAGGCGGUCGUAUAAGUUAGCGGUGAAAUCCCGAGGCUCAACUUCGGAAUUGCCUCUGAUACUGUUCGGCUAGAGAGUAGUUGCGGCAGGCUGAAUGUAUGGGGUAGCGGUGAAAUGCAUAGAGAUCAUACAGAACCCCGAUUGCGAAGGCAGCCUACCAAGCCAUUUCUGACGUUGAGGCACGAAAGCGUGGGGAGCAAACAGGAUUAGAUACCCGAGUAGUC